UGGUGAGUAACACGUGGGAAACCUGCCCAGAAGCGGGGGAUAACACCUGGAAACAGAUGCUAAUACCGCAUAACAACUUGGACCGCAUGGUCCGAGUUUGAAAGAUGGCUUCGGCUAUCACUUUUGGAUGGUCCCGCGGCGUAUUAGCUAGAUGGUGGGGUAACGGCUCACCAUGGCGAUGAUACGUAGCCGACCUGAGAGGGUAAUCGGCCACAUUGGGACUGAGACACGGCCCAAACUCCUACGGGAGGCAGCAGUAGGGAAUCUUCCACAAUGGACGAAAGUCUGAUGGAGCAACGCCGCGUGAGUGAAGAAGGGUUUCGGCUCGUAAAACUCUGUUGUUAAAGAAGAACAUAUCUGAGAGUAACUGUUCAGGUAUUGACGGUAUUUAACCAGAAAGCCACGGCUAACUACGUGCCAGCAGCCGCGGUAAUACGUAGGUGGCAAGCGUUGUCCGGAUUUAUUGGGCGUAAAGCGAGCGCAGGCGGUUUUUUAAGUCUGAUGUGAAAGCCUUCGGCUCAACCGAAGAAGUGCAUCGGAAACUGGGAAACUUGAGUGCAGAAGAGGACAGUGGAACUCCAUGUGUAGCGGUGAAAUGCGUAGAUAUAUGGAAGAACACCAGUGGCGAAGGCGGCUGUCUGGUCUGUAACUGACGCUGAGGCUCGAAAGUAUGGGUAGCAAACAGGAUUAGAUACCCUGGUAGUCCAUACCGUAAACGAUGAAUGCUAAGUGUUGGAGGGUUUCCGCCCUUCAGUGCUGCAGCUAACGCAUUAAGCAUUCCGCCUGGGGAGUACGGCCGCAAGGCUGAAACUCAAAGGAAUUGACGGGGGCCCGCACAAGCGGUGGAGCAUGUGGUUUAAUUCGAAGCUACGCGAAGAACCUUACCAGGUCUUGACAUACUAUGCAAAUCUAAGAGAUUAGACGUUCCCUUCGGGGACAUGGAUACAGGUGGUGCAUGGUUGUCGUCAGCUCGUGUCGUGAGAUGUUGGGUUAAGUCCCGCAACGAGCGCAACCCUUAUUAUCAGUUGCCAGCAUUAAGUUGGGCACUCUGGUGAGACUGCCGGUGACAAACCGGAGGAAGGUGGGGAUGACGUCAAAUCAUCAUGCCCCUUAUGACCUGGGCUACACACGUGCUACAAUGGAUGGUACAACGAGUUGCGAACUCGCGAGAGUAAGCUAAUCUCUUAAAGCCAUUCUCAGUUCGGAUUGUAGGCUGCAACUCGCCUACAUGAAGUCGGAAUCGCUAGUAAUCGCGGAUCA
rnacentral:rRNA from 2 species